rnacentral:rRNA from 1 species
GUGCCAGCAGCCGCGGUAAUACGGGAGUGGCAAGCGUUAUCCGGAAUUAUUGGGCGUAAAGCGUCCGCAGGCGGCCCUUCAAGUCUGCUGUUAAAAAGUGGAGCUUAACUCCAUCAUGGCAGUGGAAACUGUUGGGCUUGAGUGUGGUAGGGGCAGAGGGAAUUCCCGGUGUAGCGGUGAAAUGCGUAGAUAUCGGGAAGAACACCAGUGGCGAAGGCGCUCCGCUGGGCCAUCACUGACGCUCAUGGACGAAAGCCAGGGGAGCGAAAGGGAUUAGAUACCCCUGUAGUCCUGGCCGUAAACGAGUGAACACUAGGUGUCGGGGGAAUCGACCCCCUCGGUGUCGUAGCCAACGCGUUAAGUGUUCCGCCUGGGGAGUACGCACGCAAGUGUGAAACUCAAAUGAAUUGACGG